AACGAACGCUGGCGGCAGGCUUAACACAUGCAAGUCGAACGCACCGCAAGGUGAGUGGCAGACGGGUGAGUAACACGUGGGGAUCUGCCCAAUGGUACGGAAUAGCUCCGGGAAACUGGAAUUAAUACCGUAUGAGCCCGCAAGGGGAAAGAUUUAUCGCCAUUGGAUGAACCCGCGUCGGAUUAGCUAGUUGGUGUGGUAAAGGCGCACCAAGGCGACGAUCCGUAGCUGGUCUGUGAGGAUGAUCAGCCACACUGGGACUGAGACACGGCCCAGACUCCUACGGGAGGCAGCAGUGGGGAAUAUUGGACAAUGGGCGCAAGCCUGAUCCAGCCAUGCCGCGCGAGUGAUGAAGGCCUUAGGGUUGUAAAGCUCUUUCGCCGACGAAGAUAAUGACGGUAGUCGGAGAAGAAGCCCCGGCUAACUUCGUGCCAGCCGCCGCCGUAAAAC
rnacentral:rRNA from 1 species